CCUACGGGAGGCAGCAGUGGGGAAUAUUGGACAAUGGGCGCAAGCCUGAUCCAGCAAUGCCGCGUGAGUGAUGAAGGCCUUCGGGUUGUAAAGCUCUUUCGCACGCGACGAUGAUGACGGUAGCGUGAGAAGAAGCCCCGGCUAACUUCGUGCCAGCAGCCGCGGUAAUA
rnacentral:rRNA from 1 species